rnacentral:lncRNA from 1 species
UCAUGGUGGCCCGCUCAGGCCACCACAGUGCUGACAGGGAGGAAUCUUCUUAUGAGGACCAUCCUCAUCCUUGCACCUACUCACAGCAUCCAUUCCCAAGGAUCCGGGCUGCCAGACUGCAUGCAGACAGGUGCAACUGUGUGCUCACAACUGGACUUUUCUAUGGAAAGAGGAACACUGAACAACUACAGGGAGGGGUCUCACUCAGCAGGAGCCAGAGGAGGAACAUGCAGUAGCCACAUCAGAAACUAAGAGAGUGAUUGGUCAGCUUGCUACAAAUCUUAAGACAGGGCAUCUUCAUCUUCAAAAUGAAAUGGGAUAAGACAGCAACCCAGACAGAAUUUAUGCAGAAUCUGAAGCAGAGCAAGUGACAAUUAACACAUUUUACAUAGAUUCCAUAGCACGUAGGAGCUACCUGCAGAUUUCCAACAUGUAAUUCUUGAUCUUGAUUCUCUAUCAGAUCUGCUGCCUAAGAGACUGCCUGUGGCUACCAAAUGCAGUG